rnacentral:rRNA from 1 species
AUGCAAUCCACCUGUAACAGGGGGAUAACCCGGAGAAAUCCGGACUAAUACCCCAUAAUAUGGGCUCUCCGCAUGGAGGGUUCAUUAAAGAGAGCAAUUUUGGUUACAGACGAGCAUGCGCUCCAUUAGCCAGUUGGCGGGGUAACGGCCCGCCAAAGCGACGAUGGAUAGGGGUUCUGAGAGGAAGGUCCCCCACAUUGGAACUGAGACACGGUCCAAACUCCUACGGGAGGCAGCAGUGAGGAAUAUUGGUCAAUGGUCGGCAGACUGAACCAGCCAAGUCGCGUGAGGGAAGACGGCCCUACGGGUUGUAAACCUCUUUUGUCGGAGAGUAAAGUACGCUACGUGUAGUGUAUUGCAAGUAUCCGAAGAAAAAGCAUCGGCUAACUCCGUGCCAGCAGCCGCGGUAAUACGGAGGAUGCGAGCGUUAUCCGGAUUUAUUGGGUUUAAAGGGUGCGUAGGCGGCACGCCAAGUCAGCGGUGAAAUUUCCGGGCUCAACCCGGAGUGUGCCGUUGAAACUGGCGAGCUAGAGUACACAAGAGGCAGGCGGAAUGCGUGGUGUAGCGG